rfam:Sphingomonas sp. Ant20 Sphingomonas_Ant20_8, whole genome shotgun sequence.
GGCAUAUUUUGCGAUGGCGGAGCUCGACCGCCCCGGGCGAUGAAGAUGGCGUUCAUCGACGCGCAUCGGGAGGAGUUGGGAAUCGAGCCGAUCUGCCAGGAACUGGCGGUCGCCCCC